rnacentral:rRNA from 1 species
GACAGAGGGUGCAAGCGUUAUCCGGAAUGAUUGGGCGUAAAGCGUCUGUAGGUGGCUUUUUAAGUCUGCCGUCAAAUCCCAGGGCUUAACCCUGGACAGGCGGUGGAAACUACCAAGCUGGAGUACGGUAGGGGCAGAGGGAAUUUCCGGUGGAGCGGUGAAAUGCGUAGAGAUCGGAAAGAACACCAACGGCGAAAGCACGCUGCUGGGCCGACACUGACGCUGAGAGACGAAAGCUAGGGGAGCGAAUGGG